UUUGGACAGUUACAGAGUAGCAUGCCAGUCACUUGGGUGCACUUGGAUGACUUUGUGCUGCUUUACACAACUCUCGACAAAGUGAAUAGGUUCGGUGAUAUUAUUUCCAGAUUGGCUCAGGAUUGGCUCACAAUGAAAUAAUGAGGAGUCUUGUUCUGCUUCUCAAAUUCUAGAAAAAGUGAAGAAAGAAGUGUUAGAUUCCAUGAAGCUCGACAGCAUGAGCUCCUACUUAUUUUUUUUUUUUUUUAAAGAAAUUCAAGUAGUAACUUAUACUGACUGGGUGGUUGCCUGAAUCCGUGAUCUUCAACAACAGAACAAGGAGAUGGGUAGAAAUGACACUUGAAUUUUUGUGAGAAGAAGGACCCUUUUCAUGUGGAAAAUAUUUUCUGUAUUCCUCUAUCAUAGUUAUCAAAGUUCUAUUAGCUAUUGAUUGGAAAAAUAAAUUUUUCCAAAACUAAUAUGAAAGA